AAAAAGAGAGACUUUGAAAUUACAAAAGGCCCUUGAACCAUGACUAUUACUGUUUUUAGUUCUCAGCAAAAUCUAUUCAAAUAAAAAAAAAGCUGGGGGAAAGAAAAAUGAACACCAAAACGCAACUACAAAAACUCAACAAAAAUGUUUCUUGUUAUGCAAACAAAAGGCAGGCUACACUCUAUGUUGUACCAUAAAUCUAGUAUAUCUUUUCUCUAAAACACAAAUACUACUAUCACCACAAUUAAGCAGAAUUAUAUAUAAUAAAAAUAUACUACAUUAACCACCUAGGACACCAAUUUAUAAUUAGUAAUUACAUAAUCUAAUUAAAGAAAACUUAACAAAAAG
rnacentral:misc_RNA from 1 species